UGAAAUGCAGGAAUAACAACCUGGACAGAGAAGCACACAUAUCUACACACAAGAUUUUCAUUCCAACAAUUGGUCCUAAAAGGCUCCAAUACAUUUCUAAGUAAAGGUCCAUUAAAUUAAGCCACAAGUUGUUCGACACUUUCAUAGUUUAACUUUGUUCCAAUCAGCAUUAUGAUAUUCAUUCAAAAUACUGAGAGACAAGAGGUGAUUGUGAGAGAUAACCAAAACAUGUGACUCUACAAAAUUACAAAUGUUCAUGAGGACUCAGACUGUGGAAUUGAACAUUAACAUAGAAAUGAAUCUGAGAAAAUCUAUGUAUAGUUUAGCCUUAUUAGAAGAACUUAUUUAACUUAUUAAUCAGAAUAAAUUUCUUCAAACACAUUUCUCAUCAAACACAGAUUGUCCACAGCCAAUUUCACAUGAGGCAGUUGGGCUGUUUAGUGACAUUCUAGUGAAAUUCUCACGGCACAGGGAAUCAUCCGUUACCCCACACCAUGAAGCUGGCUCAUCAGCCAUCUAGAUCACCCUUCACUGACCCCACCUACACAUCUGAAUGGACACACACACACACACACACACACACACACACACGGAUCUCUCUGUGAAUGACAUCAACUGUGUAAUGAAGCCAUCCAUCCUAAGGCUGAUGGAACCACACAGUCCAGGGUGAGGGGACCACCUUGCCAAAGGUAUAUGUAAAGGGAGGAUACUGACCAUACUUUUAAUAUAUAAGACAUUUAAAACAAGCAGGAUGUUCCCACACAGAUUGACUAGAAACACUUUUCACCCUAAAGAAGAGACUCAAGUAUUCACAAUUUACAAGAAUUCUGUACAGUACAUGUUUUCAAAGUAUUACCUAGUAAAGCCACUGAAUUUUACAGAUAACUGUUGUAAUGUCCUUGUCAUUAAUUUUAAUAAUUUUGGUAUUCUGUCAUUUUCAUUAGUUCUACAAAGGAUUUGUCUAUUGACUUAGUCAGGGUUUCUAUUCCUGCACAAACAUCAUGACCAAGAAGCAAGUUGGGAGGAAAGGGUUUAUUCAGCUUACAUUUCCACAUUGCUGUUCCUGACCAAGGAAGUCAGGACUGGAACUCAAACAGGUCAGGAAGCAGGAGCUGAUACACAGGCCAUAGAGAGAUGUUAGUUACUGGCUUCCUUCCCCUGGCUUGCUCAGCCUGCUCUCUUAUAGAACCCAAGACUACCAGCCCAGAGAUGGUCCCACCCACAAGGGGCCUCUUCCCCUUGAUCACUAAUUGAGAAAAUGCCCCACAGCUGGACCUCAUGGAGGCAUUUCCCCAACUGAAGCUCGUUUCUGUGAUAACUCCAGCCUGUGUCAAGUUGACACACAAAACCAGCCAGUACAUCUAUCUUUUAUAGUAACCCACUCUGUUUCAUUAAUUACUUCUAAUUGUUCUUUUAGUCAGUUUCCAUUUCAUUAAUUUCUCCUUUAAUCAUUAUUAUUUCUUUCUGUCUACUAAUUUUGUGUUUGGCAUUUUCCCUGUGUUUCUAAGAAUUUGAACUAUAGUCACUAGACUAUAAGUUUUGUCUGAUUUUUUAAAAAUUAUUUAUUUAUUUUUGGUCACUAUUUUUAGAUAUUUUAAUUUAAUCUCUAUGAGUGCUCUAUUUGUAUGAACACCUGAAUGCCAGAAGAGGGAAGCAGAUCACAUUGUAGAUGAUUAUGAGCCCCCAUGGAGUUUCUGGGAAUUGAACUCAGGACCUCGGGAAAGAGCAGUCAGUGCUCUUAAGGUACUUCUCCAGCCCUAAUCUAUUUAUUCUUAUUUUAUAUGCAUUGGAUUUUUGCUUGCAUAUAUGUCUGUGUAAGGGUGUUGCAUCCUCUGGAAACUGGGUUUACAAACAGUGUGAGCUGCCAUCCUCUAGAUCUGGGUUUACAGACAGUGUGGGUGCUGAGAAUGGAACCAAAGUCCUCUGGAAGAGCAGUCGGUGCUCUUAACCUCUGAGCCAUUUCUCUAACCCUAUCUGAUUUUUUUUUUAAAUGUGGGCAAUUUUAAUGGUAAAUGUUUGUAUUAAAAAUGCCUUCCUGGCACCUGGGAGGCAGAGGCAGGUGGAUUUUUGAGUUCGAGGCCAGCCUGGUGUACAGAGUGAGUUCCAGGACAGCCCGGGUUACACAGAGAAACCCUGUCUCAAAAAUCAAAAAAAGAAUUUAAAAAAAUGCCAUCCUGUAUUUCAAAGAUUAAGGUAGAUUAUAUUUGCAUUUUAAUUUUAUUAAAAGAAAUUUUUAAUUUCCUUCCUGUGUGGCCUGGAUAAUAUAUCUAUUGCUGGAGUAGGAUAUUGAUUUUUCUUGUUAUACCUGCCAUUUCAUGCUCAGUAGUGCUUUAUGAAAUUGCUUGUAUCAAAAUGGUACAUAUAUGUCUGUCUGUCUGUCUGUCUAUCUAUCUAUUAUUACAUCAUCUUGAUCAACUGAUUCUUUGAAUAAUUGUCCAGUGUACAUUACUUCUUCUGUGUAAUUUUGGUAUGACGUCUACUUCAUCAGAUAUUCAUAUUGCUAAUCCUGGUUGUCUUCAUUUUUAUAUAAUAUUUUUUAUUAGAUAUUUUCUUUUUAUGCAUUUAAAAUGCUAUCCUGAAAGUUCCCUAUACCCUCCCAUGCCCUGCUCCCCUACCCACCCACUCCCCCUUCUUGGCCCUGGCAUUCCCCUAUACUGGAGCAGAUAAAGUUUGCAAUACCAAGGGGCCUCUCUUCCCAGUGAUGGCCAACUAGGCCAUCUUCUGCUACAUAUGCAGCUAGAGACACGAGCUCUGGGGGUACUGGUUAGUUCAUAUUGUUUUUCCACCUAUAGGGUUGCAGACCCCUUCAGCUCCUUGGGUGCUUUCUCUAGCUUCUCCAUUGGGGGCCCUGUGUUCCAUCUUAUAAAUGACUGUGAGCAUCCACUUCUGUAUUUGCCAGGCAUUGGCAUAGCCUCAUAUGAGACAGCAAUACCAGGGUCCCUUCAGCAAAAUCUUGCUGGCAUAUGCAGUAGUGUCUGGGUUUGGUGGCUGAUUAUGGCAUGGAUCCCCGGGUAGGGUAGUCUCUGGAUAGUCCAUCCUUUCGUCUUAUCUCCAAACUUUGUCUCUGUAACUCCUUUCAUGGGUAUUUUUCCCCUAUUCUAAGGAGGAAUGAAGUAUCCACUCAUUGGUCUUCCCUCUUCUUGAUUGCCUUGUGUUUUGCAAAUUGUAUCUUGAGUCUUCUAUGUUUCUGGGCUAAUAUCCACUUAUCAAUGAGUGCAUAUCUAAUGACUUCUUUUGUGAUUGGGUUACCUCACUAAGGAUGAUAUCCUCCAGAUACAUCCAUUUGUCCAAGCAUUUCAUAAAUCCAUUGUUUUUAAUAGCUGAGUAGUACUCCAUUUUGUAAAUGUACCACAUUUUCUGUAUCCAUUCCUCUUUUCAGGGACAUCUGGGUUAUUUCCAGCUUCUGGCUAUUAUAAAUAAGGCUGCUACGAACAUAGUGGAGCAUGUGUCCUUAUUACUAGAUGGAACAUCUUCUGGGUAUAUGCCCAGGAGAGGUAUUGCUGAAUCUUCCGGUAGUAUCAUGUCCAGUUUUCUGAGGAACCUCCAGACUGACUUCCAGAGUGGUUGUACAAGCUUGCAAUCCCACCAACAAUGGAGGAGUGUACCUCUUUCUUUACAUCCUUGCCAGCAUCUGCUGUCACCUGAAUUUUUGAUCUUAGCCAUUCUGACUGGUAUGAGGUGGAAUAACAAGGUUGUUUUGAUUUGCAUUUCCCUGAUGAUUAAGGAUGUUGAACAUUUUUUCAGGUGCUUCUCAGCCAUUCAGUAUUCCUCAGUUGAGAAUUCUUUGUUUAGCUCUGUACCCCAUUUUUAAUGGGGUUAUUUGAAUUUCUGGAGUCUAGCUUCUUGAGCUCUUUGUAUAUAUUGGAUAUUAGUCCCCUAUCAGAUUUAGGAUUGGUAAAAAUUCUUUCCCAAUCUGUUGGUGGCCUUUUUGUCUUAUUGACAGUGUCUUCUGCCUUACAGAAGCUUUGCAAUUUUAUGAGGUCCCAUUUGUCAAUUCUUGAUCUUACAGCAUAGGCCAUUGCUGUUCUGUUUAGGAAUUUUUCCCCUGUGCCCAUAUCUUCGAGGGUUUUCCCCACUUUCUCCUCUAUAAAUUUCAGUGUCUCUGGUUUUAUGUGGAGGUCUUUGAUCCACUUAGACUUGAGCUUUGUACAAGGAGAUAAGAAUGGAUCAAUUUGCAUUCUUCUACAUGAUACCUGCCCAUUGUGCCAGCACCAUUUGUUGAAAAUGCUGUCCUUUUUCCACUGGAUGGUUUUAGCUCCCUUGUCAAAGAUCAAGUGACUAUAGGUGUGUGGGUUCAUUUCUGGGUCUUCAAUUCUAUUCCAUUGAUCUACCUGUCUGUCGCUGUCCUGGUUUUCUUCUUAUGCAUGCUUAUUCUGUCUCUUACUAUGUUUUUACUUUAUUUCUGUGCUUUUGUCAAUUUGCUGUGUCUCUUGCAGACCAGAAACAACUGUAACUUGCCUUUCAAUCCAGUCAGCUAGUAUGUAUCUUUUAAUUGGAAAACUGACAUAAUAAACUUUGGGGGUUAUUACCAAGACAUAGUCACUGAUUCUGGUAGUAUUGUUCAUUGUUUUCAUGGCUCAAAUAUUUUAUUUCUCUUUUGAAUUUUUUUAAUUUUAGGAACUUGUUUGCUGUGUUGAAUAUCUUUGAUUCUUUUCUUGUUUUUGCUUGUUAUCUAUUUGUUCCUAAACUUUAUUCUUCCCUGAGCACUUGUGUUUGUGCCUAUAUUUCUCAUCUGUGUAUAGAAUUCCUUUAAGUAUCUUCUAGAAUACUUGAUGAGUGAUCACUAGUUGCUCUAAUUUGUGUUUAUCUUGGAAGGUAUGUAUUUCACCACUGAUUUCAAAUUUUAACUCUCCUGGAAACUGAGGAAAGGUUAGUAAAUGUGUUCAAAAUGAAUUUAUGAAUUUCUUAAAUAAUUAGUAAAAAAUAUUCUCAAAGAAGACAAACAAGAGAAUUCUCCUGAAUAUACUAAUCCUACUUGGCAGUUAUUUACUCAGACUGUUUAUAUUAUACUAUUUCUUACUGGUCUAGAUUUUUGGCAUUUCUACCAAGAUACUGUUAUUCUAAUGAGUUUCAUUUUGUAUGUAAGCUGACAAUUUUCUCUUGAAUAUUUAGUUUUUAAUAUUUGUUGUUGUUAAAAUGUUAAAAAAAAAA
rnacentral:lncRNA from 1 species